AUUGACAUGUAAUUUUCAUACACCGGAUCCCAUUAGAACUCCGCAGUUAAGCGUGUUUGGGCGAUAGUAGUACUAGAAUGGGUGGCCUCCUUGGGAAAUCCUUGUGUUGCACCUC